AGCGAACGCUGGCGGCAGGCCUAACACAUGCAAGUCGAACGAACCCUUCGGGGUUAGUGGCGGACGGGUGAGUAACACGUGGGAACGUGCCUUUAGGUUCGGAAUAACUCAGGGAAACUUGUGCUAAUACCGAAUGUGCCCUUCGGGGGAAAGAUUUAUCGCCUUUAGAGCGGCCCGCGUCUGAUUAGCUAGUUGGUGAGGUAAAGGCUCACCAAGGCUACGAUCAGUAGCUGGUCUGAGAGGAUGACCAGCCACAUUGGGACUGAGACACGGCCCAAACUCCUACGGGAGGCAGCAGUGGGGAAUCUUGCGCAAUGGGCGAAAGCCUGACGCAGCCAUGCCGCGUGGAUGGUGAAGGUCUUAGGGUUGUAAAAUCCUUUCACCGGUGAAGAUAAUGACUGUAGCCGGAGAAGAAGCCCCGGCUAACUUCGUGCCAGCCGCCGCCGUAAAAC
rnacentral:rRNA from 1 species